AUUGCACAGCAGUAAUGGAGGUAUAAAUAAUAUCAAUAUCAAUAAAUAGGAAAAACUAAAAUAGGAAAAACUAAAUAUUGCACAAAUGUUGCAGCACAAAUGCAAACAGUUGCUUCUUUACACAUCCAGUAGGGGCAGAGCAACAUUAUCAUUCAUUUGGAGUUGUGUUUGUGUCUACCUGAUGAAUGUAUGUCCAAUUUUCACUCUCUUUUAGCUCUGUUUUCGGUCUCCACCAACUCCUGAGGAAAUGAUCUGGCUUCUUGGCUGCUACAUGCUCCACUAUGUUCACCAGCUAGUCUGUUUGCUAUUUGGUGUUGAGCAGGUAGUAGGGGUGUUAUGGAAGCUUUUCUUGGACUUAGUUGUAACUCACAGGAGACAAUCCACAAAUGUGUACCAUGAUCCAUAAAUAUUUCACUAUGCACAAACAUGUAUAUUUUUAAUUUGUUGUGUAAAGUCAUAUCCACAAAAAUACAGAACGAUUUGCUAAUAUGCAUGACUUACUCUGUAAAAACGUAUUUUAAUUCUACAUAAAAUGAUAUAGGUUUUACAAAUGUAAAUAGUUUCACCACAACAAAUACAUGUAAAGUGAUAUUUACACAUUUGUGGAUCCAUUUAUACACGUGAAACGGGUUUUGCGCAUUUGUAGAUUGCUUCCUGUCAGCUUAUGGGCCAUUUGUGACUUCCCUACUAUUUAUUUGUGAAAUUUUAUCCAAUUCGUACCGCAGCAGAUCUGUCAAGAGGAAUCCGUAAAUUGAGGUGUAGUUACUAGCUACACCAGCAGGUGGCGAGAUUCCCUCACAUGAGCUGACAGAACCACAGUCUGUACUGCAAGAAGUCAUCUGUAGACCCGCCCCUUCUCACGUUUUCAACAGUUCUCAUUCUGCGGUCAAGUUAGCAAUAAUAAAUAUGCAACAUCUGGUUAGACUUUCAAAAUAAAGCUUACAGAGAAACAUUUCAGGUGAUGGUCGCAAUUUGGUUAGGUUUAAGGAAAGAUCAUGGUUUGGGUUAGAAUAACUACUUCCUACUACAUGGGAAAUUAACUCCUUUGUGAAAGUCUUGUGCUUGACCCAUUACUUUUAUGUUUGAUCCUUAAGUACAUUUAAUAGCAAAUAAGUUUGUACAAAUGUAUAUGUGACACAAAAAGGCAAUUUAUUAUUUUGGCCGGCAAAAAAUAUGCUUGCCCAGUGGAUUUUUUCAUAUAUCAAAAUUUUAUAUUAUGAGGAGCGCCUUUUUUCAUGAUGGACAGCGGAGAUCCUGACACAACUGGAAAAAGUAAAUUCCGCUGAUUGCAGCAAGGUGUGUAUCUGUGUGUUUAAAUGUGUUUAAGUUAUGACCCUGAGAAGAAGCGGUGUUGUGUUUGUGGUAAAUUGUGUUGGGACACAGGUCAAGGGAGCACGGUGGGGGGUGGUGGUGUUUUUCGUAUCUGUUCAGAGCGCAAUCAGAAUAAUGUAUUCGUAUUCGGGUAAACCCUUAGCAGGCUGAGAAUGAUGCCAUGAGAGAGGUGAGAGUGAAUCAGAACAGUUAAAGUUGUGGGCUGGCUAGGUCAACAAUGAACUGAAAUUCCAUUUAGCCAAGAGGAGCUACAGAUUCCAUUCUUUCAUUCUCUCUAGAUUCAUCACUACGAGUGACCCCUUUCACAUUCUCACAUUGUCGUUUGAUAUAUUGUUACAAUAAAAAGCCAUAAACAGCCAUUUUAACUGCAUAUGUAGAAUAUAGAAACCCGUCUGAUACCUAGGUCAUAGGGCAUCAGUCAGCUGUCAGGUAAUAUAUCCUUGUUUGGAGGGGGUAUCGGCUAGGAACCACAACAAACUGUAAGAUACUGUGAUGUUAGUAAUUUAAGUAGAUACUGUAUGAGCAGUAGAGACACAAAUGGUAAGUCAAUGCUAUUCUGACGUGUGUGUGUGUCACAUUCAUUUCACUCCUGCAUAAGUAAUGGUAAAUGGUAAAUGGACUGUACUUAUAUAGUGCCUUUCUAGUCUUUCUGACUACUCAAAGUGCUGCAACUCAUAAGUCAGUGCCCCACUUGGGCUACCCCAGUCAAAAAAGUCUGUAAGUGCCACUGAGCCUUGCAAGCCACUUCUGAUGAACAGCACUCACAAACUCACACAAAAAACAGUGUAUUCAUUUGAUUUGUUAAAUACAGUACACACAGAGAUAACAGCUGACACCACCACACAACAUCUGAAUGUACUUCAGCUCAUAAGAAAGAAAACACAGUUUUAAAUUUCUAUUUUGAAUUUCAAGCUCCAACAAUCAAUAAAUUCAUAUUAAGAAUGAAUCAAAUUACUAUGUGCCAUCCCAGCCCCACCGCUAGGUAGGCCAUACAUUCUCAGCUCUCUCUCUCUCUAUUAUCUCUCACCUCAGGAAAUAUCCCCUUAUCUAAAACUUGGUUUAACCAUCAUUUAAGGCAAGUCCUCAUCAAAAGCAAGCUAUCCCCUCCGCACUAUCCAGGGCAUUCUUUUAGGAUAGGUGCCACUACUUCUGCUGCAACCAAGGUAUUUCAUCUAAGUCCAUGCAACAAGCCUACACCUCUUACAUUCGUCCAGACAUCAGCACUGUUCUAGCAAAUCAAAGAUCUCUGAAGCCCUAAUUCUCUGGUAAGUCAUGCAUAUAACUGGUGGUGGUGUUCAGGUUAUGGUUGUCACAGCUACUAUUUUUUUCACAUUGCUGGUCAUGGCUGACCUUAGCAUUUUAUCCAUCAUCAUACAUUUAUGGAAGACAUAUAGGUCAUAUAGGUUCCAACACCCUUUUGGUCAUUCUGGCCACAUUCAGGUUUAGGGUCAAUGUGACCUUAUUCACUCACAAUGGUCAACAUGACCUCAGCAAAAGGUCCACCUGACCUCAUUCAUUGGAACACCCCUGGUCAAUGUGACCUCAUGCAUCACUCAUGGUCAACGUGACAUCAUCACAGCUUGGUCCAAGUGACCUCAUUUAUGGCAUUGUUUAAUAUAAGUGUAAACAUAAUAAUUUUCUUUUCAGCUAUGCAUUUCUUUGUCUAAUUUUCUUUCAUAUUUUAUAAGGAAUCAUAUGGUAAGGAUUGAGUCACAUGCUGGUUCCUUUCCUGUCUUCUCUUUCUCUUUAGUUGGGGGGUAUCCCAUACUAUUCACGGCUUCACUACACCCUUAAAAUAUGAGGACGUCACGAUAGAGUCUAAUCACCAAAGACUCUUCACAUUUUUCAUCUUUAUUGUGCACAUAUCAAUACAUUUUGGCUCUGUUGAAGACUAUUUUUAUGCCUCAUUCAUUCACAUCUCUCUCUUUCUCCCGCUCUCUCUUCCUGCUAUAAUCAGCUGAUAUGGGCAUAUACUCUCUCAGUAACCAGCCAGAUUUUGCCACGAUCUCCUUCAAGCCAAUCGUAUAGCUGCUGUCAAACUUAAAUCUGUCUCCUCUCUGCUCGCUGUCAGCUGUCAUUUCAGUGCGGAAUCAUUGUGACCCUACUCCAUCCCAUUCACCUCCAGUUCGAUCCCAUUCUCUGUUCCGUUCCAUCGAAAAAAUGUAAGAAAAACUUAUUCUUGCUGUUAGUCAAUUCCCAUAACACCCUUUUUUUUAAACCUCGACAUUAACAAAAAUAAAUGCACCUUGGCGGAGGCUGGCUAUGGGAGCACCAGGUAUGUAACGUACAUUUUUAAACACUAGCUGUGGUACUGUGUUAUUUAGUUAGUUAACUGAUGCUACACUCAAUGAGCGAAUGAGCAACACUUCAAUGGCGACUCUGCGACACUGCAGCUGGCCACACUUGGCGGUUUUGUAGCUUUGGCACUGGUAGUCUGAACACAGCAUUAUCGCCAAAGACUCUUCACAUUUUUUAUCUUUACUGUGCACGUCAAUACAUUUUUGUCACUCAUAAUGAAGUCUCUCCUGAUUGAAAUAGUGUGGAAAACUAUGAUAGAAGGAUCACAGGAAGGCUAGACUAUAAAAGUGUGUUUGAAAAAGAGAUUAAAUAAAGAGAUAGACCAUCCUUAUCUCCUCUGGAAGGUUGUUCCAAAGUCUAAGGGCCCUGAUGGCAAACGCUCUCUCAACUUUGUUUUUUAGUCUGGAUUUAGGAACCACUCGGAGAGCAGCAUUUGAGGACCUCAUGGCCCGUGACGGCAUAUGGGGAGUUAAAAGAAUUUCAGUGUAAAUUCCUCAGCAAGCUGCUGGACCUUGAGGACCAACUCAAGGAGCUAAGGGGACAGAAUAAGGCACACCUCUCACUCCUGAGGAUAGAGUUCCUGGAGAUGGAUAAUACAUUAGAAGAAGACCCAGGACACAAGGACAAAUUGAUUGACUAUCUGGUUCAAGUGGGAGGGAAAUCCCUGAGGGACUGCCUUACCAACAUAUUGGAUCAGUAUGUACAAAUGGUUGUUCAUAAACAGCCUAAUGGCAGGCAUGACCAUGAGGGGGGUGGGCAUCAAGAUGUUCCUUUGGGCCUACAGCCGUGUUCUCUGCUAUUUUAGAAGCAGUGAAACGGUGGGACAGGUCUGCAACGGACCACAAUGUUACCCUCAUAGUUGAGUACUACCUGAAAGUGCAGCCAACGGUGCAGCCUAUGAUACCCCAUCCCCAUGACCUCCCCAACCCCCAGUUGUAGUCUUCCCACAAGUUCACUUUUUCCACCUCAGUCUCACUCUUGAUUUAAAGUAAUGUUUAAAUUAAUCUAGCAAAGCAAAUCAGUAAAAAAGUAGCUUAGGCAGCAAGACAGAUUGUCAUGGUUUUGGGUUUGUGUUCUGUUAUUUCCUGUUUUAUUUUGAAAUAGUCUCCUUCCCUCAAGUGUUUUUUAGUUUUGCUUCCUAUCUUUGAUUGCUUUGAUAGUUUUUUACCUGUGUCUUGAUCAGUUUCACCUGUGUCUCAUUGUCUCCCUAACCUAAGUGUAUUUACGUCUGUGUCCUUCCUUUGUUGUUUGUCAGUUCGUCUCCGUUGCGAUGUUGGCUAUGUCUUGUCUGUUCCAGCUUGCUUGCUUGCCUGUCUGUAUCUGCCAGUAAGCGCUUAAUAAAUCACUCAAGUCAUCGUUCUGCCUCCUCUGUCUGCCAACACCUGUAACACAGAUUAUGUCAUGAUGACGUUGUGAUGAAGUCUUUAAGUGACACCCAGGACUAGGCCAGAUCACAGCCGAUAUGGAGAUGAUUUAGUCUCUCUCUCUCUCUCUCUCUCUCUCUCUCUCUCUCUCUCUCUCUCUCUCUCUCCCAGAAGAGGAAGUU